rnacentral:rRNA from 1 species
GACGAACGCUGGCGGCGUGCUUAACACAUGCAAGUCGAACGAUGAACCCGGAGCUUGCUCCGGUGGAUUAGUGGCGAACGGGUGAGUAACACGUGAGUAACCUGCCCUUGACUCUGGGAUAACUGCGGGAAACUGUGGCUAAUACCGGAUAGGACCCUGGGAUGCAUGUCCUGGGGUGGAAAGCUUUUGCGGUGUGGGAUGGGCCCGCGGCCUAUCAGCUUGUUGGUGGGGUGAUGGCCUACCAAGGCGACGACGGGUAGCCGGCCUGAGAGGGUGACCGGCCACACUGGGACUGAGACACGGCCCAGACUCCUACGGGAGGCAGCAGUGGGGAAUAUUGCACAAUGGGCGCAAGCCUGAUGCAGCAACGCCGCGUGAGGGAUGACGGCCUUCGGGUUGUAAACCUCUUUUAGUAGGGAAGAAGCGAAAGUGACGGUACCUGCAGAAAGAGCACCGGCUAACUACGUGCCAGCCGCCGCAGUAA